GCACAAGCGGUGGAGCAUGUGGUUUAAUUCGAUGAUACGCGAGGAACCUUACCUGGGCUCAAAUGUAUGUUGACGUAUUCUGAAAGGGAUACUUCUUCGGACAAUAUACAAGGUGCUGCAUGGUUGUCGUCAGCUCGUGCCGUGAGGUGUCGGGUUAAGUCCCAUAACGAGCGCAACCCCUAUCAUUAGUUGCCAUCAGGUCAAGCUGGGGACUCUAAAGGAACUGCCUACGCAAGUAGUGAGGAAGGCGGGGAUGACGUCAAAUCAGCACGGCCCUUACGUCCAGGGCUACACACGUGCUACAAUGGCCGAUACAGAGGGCAGCUACCUGGUGACAGGAUGCAAAUCUCCAAAGUCGGUCUCAGUUCGGAUCGGAGUCUGCAACCCGACUCCGUGAAGUUGGAUUCGCUAGUAAUCGCGCAUCAGCCAUGGCGCGGUGAAUACGUUCCCGGGCCUU
rnacentral:rRNA from 1 species